rnacentral:rRNA from 1 species
CAGCCGCCGCGGUAAUACGGAGGGGGCUAGCGUUGUUCGGAAUUACUGGGCGUAAAGCGCACGUAGGCGGCUUUGUAAGUUAGAGGUGAAAGCCCGGAGCUCAACUCCGGAAUUGCCUUAAAGACUGCAGAGCUAGCAGGUGAGAGAGGUGAGUGGAAUUCCGAGUGUAGAGGUGAAAUUCGUAGAUAUUCGGAAGAACACCAGUGGCGAAGGCGGCUCACUGGCUCAUACUGGACGCUGAGGUGCGAAAGCGUGGGGAGCAAACAGGAUUAGAUACCCCCGUAGUCCCUGUCUCUUAUAC